GGGCGAGGUACAAGCGAUCUUUGGCAACUUGUGGGAAAUAUCUUAGCUGCUUCAACUGGGACACACGGAUAAAAAUGUCUUGUAUUUGUGUGAAUGGGACCUUGAAAGGACUUCCUACAAGCAUGAGGGAGUGGCUACCCAAGAAAAUGAGCCUGGAGGAUUGCAGCUAUACCCAAGAAAACGAGCCUGGAGGACUGCGGCUAUACCCAAGAAAAUGAGCCUGGAGGAUUGCAGCUAUACCCAAGAAAACGAGCCUGGAGGACUGCGGCUAUACCCAAGAAAAUGAGCCUGGAGGAUUGCAGCUAUACCCAAGAAAACAAGCCUGGAGGACUGCGACUAUACCCCAGAAAACGAGCCUGGAGGACUGCAGCUAUACCCAAGACAACAAGCCAGGAGGACUGCGGCUAUACCCAAGAAAAUGAGCCUGGAGGAUUGCAGCUAUACCCAGAAAACGAGCCUGGAGGACUGCAGCUAUACCCAAGACAACAAGCCAGGAGGACUGCGACUAUACCCAAGAAAACGAGCCUGGAGGACUGCAGCUAUACCCAAGACAACAAGCCAGCAGGACUGCAGCUAUACCCAAGAAAACAAGCAUUCCACUCACACCGCGCAGAUAAACGUAUAAAAAUGACCUCAAAUGGUCGCCGAGAUCGCGGCCAGAUAGCGGUAUUGCUGCCAUCGCUACCGUGGCCUUUUGCUUUCAAACAGCGCUGCGAUGAUGGAGUGCGCGGAACCAAUCUUCACCAUCUCGAAAUAUGAUUCAGCCACCCUGACAGAGACAGAGUGCCUAAAAUCUCACA